rnacentral:rRNA from 1 species
UACGGAGGGUGCAAGCGUUAUCCGGAUUCACUGGGUUUAAAGGGUGCGUAGGUGGGUUUGUAAGUCAGUGGUGGAAUCUCCAAGCUUAACUUGGAAACUGCCGUUGAUACUAUAGAUCUUGAAUCUCGUGGAGGUAAGCGGAAUAUGUCAUGUAGCGGUGAAAUGCUUAGAUAUGACAUAGAACACCGAUAGCGAAGGCAGCUUACUACACGAGUAUUGACACUGAUGCACGAAAGCGUGGGGAUCAAACAGG